rnacentral:rRNA from 1 species
CCUACGGGGGGCAGCAGUGAGGAAUAUUGGUCAAUGGACGAGAGUCUGAACCAGCCAAGUAGCGUGAAGGAUGACUGCCCUAUGGGUUGUAAACUUCUUUUAUAUGGGAAUAAAACGUUCCACGUGUGGGAUUUUGUAUGUACCAUAUGAAUAAGGAUCGGCUAACUCCGUGCCAGCAGCCGCGGUAAUACGGAGGAUCCGAGCGUUAACCGGAUUUAUUGGGUUUAAAGGGAGCGUAGGUGGAUUGUUAAGUCAGUUGUGAAAGUUUGCGGCUCAACCGUAAAAUUGCAGUUGAAACUGGCAGUCUUGAGUACAGUAGAGGUGGGCGGAAUUCGUGGUGUAGCGGUGAAAUGCUUAGAUAUCACGAAGAACUCCGAUUGCGAAGGCAGUUCACUGGACUGCAACUGACACUGAGGCUCGAAAGUGUGGGUAUCAAACAGGAUUAGAUACCCCUGUAGUC